CCUACGGGGGGCAGCAGUGGGGAAUAUUGGGCAAUGGAGGAAACUCUGACCCAGCAACGCCGCGUGAAUGAUGAAGGUCUUCGGAUUGUAAAGUUCUUUUCUAAGGGAAGAAGAAAGUGACGGUACCUUAGGAAUAAGCCUCGGCUAACUACGUGCCAGCAGCCGCGGUAAUACGUAGGAGGCAAGCGUUAUCCGGAAUGACUGGGCGUAAAGGGUGCGGUGGUGGCUUGAUAAGGUGGUAGCGUAACUCCGAGGCUCAAACUCGGCACUACUACCAAUACUGGCGGACUUGAGUGCAGGAGGGGCAACUGGAAUUCCUAGUGUAGCGGUGGAAUGCGUAGAUAUUAGGAGGAACACCAGUGGCGAAGGCGAGUUGCUGGACUGUAACUGACACUGAGGGACGAAAGCGUGGGGAGCAAACAGGAUUAGAUACCCUAGUAGUC
rnacentral:rRNA from 1 species